ACCAAACGCAUCUCAAGCUUGCGUUAGAGAAAGCGAUGCCCUAAUUUUCCCAAAUGCGUCUGCAUUCUGCUUCAAAAAAGAACCCAAAGUUUCAAAUAAACCCCCUGCCAUCCCAAAUGAACUCGCCAUGGGUUAGGGUAAAGGCUCGUGUGUAUGUGCACAUUGGAGACGCGCUGGAAUUUACAAACACAGCUUGCUCUUGCAUUAGAAACUGUACCCGCAAAAAUUCCCUUUAUUAAUCUCCCGCGUGUUUCCUUUUUUUUUCCUUUCCUUCUUUGCUUUCCCUCAAAGCUCCUUUUCUUUCCUUGCUCUGGUUGACGCCGACGUUCAUAGCCAACCUUAGCUGGGGAUGCUGAUCACUACUGCAUUGAUCAUUGACGUUGGCAUUUCACAUAAACCUCUCAUGAAAAGCUCAAUCGGUGCUGCAUUCUUGAUCUGCCAUUGGAUUGUGAGGUAGACACUCAAUCUUAGAGGAACAACCAGAGAUCACCGUUAGACAAUACUUUCCAUCUUGCCUUCGUUCAUCAGAACCUGAGUAAAGUACCCUGUGAGUAACUCAGAUCAUAAUGCAAGUCUACGCACGAGGGAUCGGGUGACUUCACCCACAAACAACAAUGCUUUUCUGUUAGAGAAUUGUCCUCGACAAGGAAGGAUGUCACGAAGGUUGAUGACAUGCCAAGUUGAACAAGUUUCAUGUGGCAUAAAAGUUUUGCAUGCAUCAACAUGUCACAUGCAAUACCACCCCUUUCAACUUCCAAGUGUUGCUGUAAUGUUUCAUUUGGCCACACAAACAACAGUAGAGCUUCCACAAAUUCUGGCCUAAUGGUCAGCAAGCAUCAUAGCAACAGAUGCCAGCCUUUUGGUUGAUGCUGAUGUUAGUGCUCAUCAAUUGGAAUGUUCCGGUCAAGUGCAUGUUCUCCUGCAAUGGAAGGGAAUGAGGAUAAGGAAUUGAUAAAAAACCAGGAAGUUCCAGAACACUUAAAUAAAGGGGUUUACGUUUAUAGGCAAGAUGUUGUAAGGUCCACUAAGAAAGAGGGACUGAUUUGCAUGGUCAUGGAAGUUGGGGGAGAACUAUUCUCAGAUAGCAGCAUUAGUGAUAUUGAGGAUGAUUUUGAGAGCAAUGAUUUGUUGAUAAGUGGUCAAGCUAAAGUCAUAUGGGCUAAAUCAUAAUGAGACAAAAGAUAACGCUGCUGAGAUUUUGGCUGCAGCUAUGGUGUUUAUGCAUGGCGAUGUUGUGGCAUCGACUUCUGAUCCAACUGGAUGGACAAGAACUUGGUGGAUGAGUAUUUUGUGGGCUGAAAAUGGGGAAAUAAUAAGACAUUUGUCUAGCGAAUUACUGCAUGUUAGCGAUUUCACCAUUGGUGAUUAUGAGCUUAAUGGCCAACAUUGGAUAUGCCAUGUUGAUGAAGUUCUAGAUAAUGUGACUGUGAUGUUCACUGAUGAGUCUGUUUGUAAGGUGAUUAAGGUGCAAGAUGCAUCAGUUUUUUUUUAUUGGAUUGUUUCAGCAAGCUGUACUGGUGGCUCUCUGCCUCUUUUUAUUGAUUAGCAAGAUACUAAGAAUUACAUAUCGCAUGUAUAAUGUAAAAAACAGGUUUGGUUACAGUUUGUAAUGCAAAACGCAUAAGCAAUACAGGAUCUGCGUUAGUAAUAACAAGAAAAGUUUGUUACUAAUUGUUAAUAGUCACACACAACUUUUUCGUAAAAGAAAGAUUCUGUAACGAGGCCUUUAGCAACACCAUUUGUAACACUUUGAGUGCAUUAGUCCGCACUUUUAGUAACGCAGCUAGUGCAUUAGUAAACGCUCUUUUUCUUGUAGUGAGAAUCAACCUCUCCACAAAGGCGAUGAGUAAUAUCUUAGAAGAAUUAAGUGACAAAUUUGGCAUUACUGUGUUGAAGUAACCCUCAAGCAAAGAUGGUUGAAUAAGGACUCCUAAGCAAUCAGGUUGUGAUUAAAAUCCAGGAUUUUCUCUCCAUUUUGGAGAAUAGGUGCCA